CAACGCCGCGUGGAGGAUGAAGUUAUCUUGGGUACGUAAACUCCCUUUCGAUGGGGAAGAUAAUGACGGUACCCAUAGAAGAAGCCCCGGCUAACUUCGUGU
rnacentral:rRNA from 1 species